rnacentral:pre_miRNA from 1 species
CCCUUGGAAGCACUGAGUUUACGUGUGUGCUUGACGGCCUUCUCGAGCAACGAUCUAGCACCAUAUAAAUUCAGUAUUUUCGAGU